rnacentral:rRNA from 1 species
UACAGAGGGUGCGAACGUUGCUCGGAAUUAUUGGGCGUAAAGGGCGCGUAGGCGGCUUGACAAGUCCAAGGUGAAAUCCCUCGGCUCAACCGAGGAACUGCCUUGGAAACUGUCUGGCUCGAGGCCGGGAGAGGGUAGUGGAAUUCCCAGUGUAGCGGUGAAAUGCGUAGAUAUUGGGAGGAACACCGGUGGCGAAGGCGGCUACCUGGACCGGAUCUGACGCUGAUGCGCGAAAGCGUGGGGAGCAAACAGG